AAGACAUGCAAGUCGAACGAUGAAGCCCAGCUUGCUGGGCGGAUUAGUGGCAUACGGGUGCGUAACACGUGAGCAACCUGCCUUGAAGUGGGGAAUAGCCCGGGGAAACCCGGAUUAAUACCGCAUGUGGUCUCUUUUCGCAUGAAAAGACGACUAAAGUUUGUAAUGACUCUUCAAGAGGGGCUCGCGGCCUAUCAGCUUGUUGGUGAGGUAAAGGCUCACCAAGGCAAAGACGGGUAGCUGGUCUGAGAGGAUGAUCAGCCACACUGGAACUGAGAUACGGUCCAGACACCUACGGGUGGCAGCAGUUUCGAAUCAUUCACAAUGGGGGAAACCCUGAUGGUGCAACGCCGCGUGGAGGAUGACGGCCUUCGGGUUGUAAACUCCUGUCACCAAGGAACAAACGGCAGGUUCAUAGCCUGUCCUGAGUUAACUUGGAGAGGAAGAGGUGGCUAACUCCGUGCCAGCAGCCGCGGUAAUACGGAGACCUCGAGCGUUACUCGGAUUCACUGGGCGUAAAGAGUAUGUAGGCGGUUUGGUAUGUCAGGUGUGAAAGCCCGAAGCUCAACUUCGGAAUUGCGCCUGAAACUACCGGACUUGAGGCCUGGAGAGGGGAGUGGAAUUCCUGGUGUAGCGGUGAAAUGCGUAGAUAUCAGGAGGAACACCAAUGGCGAAGGCAGCUCCCUGGACAGGUUCUGACGCUGAGAUACGAAAGCGUGGGUAGCGAAAGGGAUUAGAUACCCCUGUAGUCCACGCCGUAAACGUUGUACACUAGGUUUCGGAGGGGCUACCCCUUCGGAGCUCAAGCUAACGC
rnacentral:rRNA from 1 species